rnacentral:rRNA from 1 species
AGUGAACGCUGGCGGUAGGCCUAACACAUGCAAGUCGAACGGACGCACAGUAAGCGCUUGCUCCUACGGGUGGCGAGUGGCGGGCGGGUGAGGAAUAGAUAGGAAUCCACUUUUUCGUGGGGGAUAACGUAGGGAAGGUUAUGAUAAUACAUAAUACGACGUACGGGUGAAAGCAGGGGAUAUUCGGACCUUGUGUGAUUGAAUGAGCCGAAGUCGGAUUAGCUAGUUGGCGGGGUAAAGGCCCACCAAGGCAACGAUACGUAGCAGAUCUGAGAGGAUGAUCAGCCACACUGGAACUGAGACACGGUCCAGACUCCUACGGGAGGCAGCAGUAGGGAAUAUUGGGCAAUGGGCGCAAGCCUGACCCAGCCAUACCGCGUGAGUGAAGAAGGCCUUCGGAUUGUAAAGCCCUGUUAUUAGGAAAGAAAAUCAGCAUAUUAAUACCCCGCUGUUCUGACGGUACCCAAACAAUAAGCACCGGCUAACUUCGUG